CCUACGGGUGGCAGCAGUGAGGAAUAUUGGUCAAUGGGCGAGAGCCUGAACCAGCCAAGUCGCGUGAAGGAUGAAUGCUCUAUGGGUUGUAAACUUCUUUUAUAAAGGAAUAAAGUGAGGCACGUGUGCCUUUUUGUAUGUACCUUAUGAAUAAGGAUCGGCUAACUCCGUUCCAGCAGCCGCGGUAAUACGGAGGAUACGAGCGUUAUCCGGGUUUAUUGGGUUUAAAGGAAGCGUAGGUGGGUUGUUAAGUCAGUUGUGAAAGUUUGGCGCUCAACCAGAAAAUUGACAUUGAUACUGGUUGACUUGAGUAUAGGUGAGGGAGGCGGAA
rnacentral:rRNA from 1 species